GUUCUGACGUAUGCCCGUGAGGAAGGAGUAGGGGAAGAACAGCCCAGAAAACCAGAAUACGUCGGGGAUUUUCUCGUCCGCCCACCGCUGGAAGAACUUUAGCCUGAAGGAAUGCAUAAUAAGCUGCCGCCGCUGGCUACCUCUGAUGACGAACAAAGAAGCAACCUUCUGUAAGUCUUCCCCUACCAGUACACAGCCUCUUCACCAUCAAAACUCCUGCUGUGCCUCCUCGUGGCAACACAUGAUAACUAGGUGCCUCGUGGGGCCAGGCUAGACCAGCAGGGGAUCUCGGAGCAGCAGUGGGCCCCAGAGGGACAGCACAUAGACCGACAGGCAUGUGGACAUGUCCUGGUGCCUACUAACCACUGCCUUGCAGAUUAACCUUGGUAGGUAUAAGACUACGGGUGUAAACCCUAAGCGAAAAAUCUGAAGCGGAGACAUGCUUACAGAACUCCAGUAAGACCCCAAUGGCAGUGUAGGUGGAAGAGAUAACCAACAAGGGAACCCAAUGACUACACCAGCAGAUGAAGGCAAUGCAAAAUGGACAGGCUAAUAAGGCAAAACCCAACAAACUGGGCUAUUGGCAGUCCAUUGCAACUCUCCUCCCCAUUCGUUGCAACUACCUGCACCACUGGACCAGGACAAGGGAGAGCCAUGGUGUGUGGUUGCAGUCUGUGCUCUUGCCUCACCACAUAAAUCAACUCAUGCACAGCCAUCACUUACUACUACUCAUCAUACUCGAUUCUGAGAGACAGCAAAGUAGGUGGGGUUGCAUUCCUGAAAAAUCUAACAUUAAAAAAAAAUUAUUACUAAAUGAGGAUAACAUCGAAGCAUGGAGGACAAGCAACAGGUUUAAAUGUCAUGGCAGUAAACAGCGAGGACUGAACUCCCUAAUAAUAAUAAAUGAGUUCAUUACGAAUAGUUUCAAAGUUAAACGACGGAUUUAUUAACACAAAAAUUCAAAUUGCAUACAUGUACUGUACUACAACAUCUUUUAAGAUAAACAAUAAAGUUGAUAAAUAGCAUAUUAUAAAACAAAA
rnacentral:lncRNA from 1 species